rnacentral:rRNA from 1 species
UACGGAGGGGGCUAGCGUUGUUCGGAAUUACUGGGCGUAAAGCGCGCGUAGGCGGACCUGCAAGUCGGGGGUGAAAGCCCGAGGCUCAACCUUUGAAUGCCGCUGGAAACUGUCUGGCUAGAGUCCGGGAGGGGCGAGUGGAAUUCCUGGUGUAGCGGUGAAAUGCGCAGAUAUCAGGAGGAACACCGAUGGCGAAGGCAGGUCUCUGGGCAUUAACUGACGCUGAGGAGCGAAAGCAUGGGGAGCGAACAGG